rnacentral:rRNA from 1 species
UCUCCUGGAAACGGGUGGUAAUGCCGGAUGCUCCGACUCCUCGCAUGGGGUUUCGGGAAAGAUUUCAUCGGUAUGGGAUGGGGUCGCGUCCUAUCAGGUAGUCGGCGGGGUAACGGCCCACCGAGCCUACGACGGGUAGCCGGCCUGAGAGGGCGACCGGCCACAUUGGGACUGAGAUACGGCCCAGACUCCUACGGGAGGCAGCAGUGGGGAAUAUUGCACAAUGGGCGCAAGCCUGAUGCAGCGACGCCGCGUGCGGGAUGACGGCCUUCGGGUUGUAAACCGCUUUUGAUCGGGAGCAAGCCUUCGGGUGAGUGUACCUUUCGAAUAAGCACCGGCUAACUACGUGCCAGCAGCCGCGGUAAUACGUAGGGUGCAAGCGUUAUCCGGAAUUAUUGGGCGUAAAGGGCUCGUAGGCGGUUCGUCGCGUCCGGUGUGAAAGUCCAUCGCUUAACGGUGGAUCUGCGCCGGGUACGGGCGGGCUGGAGUGCGGUAGGGGAGACUGGAAUUCCCGGUGUAACGGUGGAAUGUGUAGAUAUCGGGAAGAACACCAAA